GCUUCUCCAGAGGUGGCUCAGUCAGUAGAGCAUGAGCUUCUUAAUCUUAGAGUUGUGGGUUCGAGCCCCUCAUUGGGCA